UCCUCCAAGGCUGAAUCUAAUCCCAUUUGUACCAGCAGAUCCUCCACCCUCACCUUUCACAUGGUGAAACUUUCUUUUCCAUCAAAUCUCUCAAAUCCAAUUUUCAAUCCACUACUUUUCACGAUCAAUCCAGAUCAAAAAUAGCACAUAAGAUAGAUCCAAAAAAUACCUGAUACAGGGAUGGUGGACAAUAGCCCCUAGAUCUCUUCC
rnacentral:lncRNA from 1 species